UAUUAAUGAGUUAAACUUUUUUUUUGUUGUCAAAAUUCUUGUAAUCAGAUAAUGCACAUUAUAUAGUUAUUUGUUAUUUUGGGAUUAGGCUGAGUUUUAUUUUUAUUCUUCUGUAGAUAGAAGGAAUUCUAAUGACAUUUGUGUUUUACCAUGGUGGCAAGUUUAAAAUCGAUAUAAGAGGAAGAAUGAUUUAUGAACCAAAUCACACGGAAGUGUUAAUGGGUAACCACACAUACACCUGUAGGUUCUAACAACUCACAGAAUGCCAUGCAUGCAUGCGAUUGCAGCCAUAUAAGAUAAGCAUGAUAAGAGGCCACAGGAGUAUUGUCAUGAAUGGCUAAAGAUGGAAUCAUAUAAAAGAACCUAUGCUUUCAAUGUCAACCCGGUCAAAGGACAAGAUCUUUGGGAGAAAACACCAUCCCCAGCCCCCGUUCCGCCCUCAAUUAAGCCUAAGCCAGGAAGGCCAACAACAAAGAGGAGAAAAGACAAGAAUGAGGGCCCUUCCGGCACAAGGUCAAAGAUGAAGCGAAAAUAUAAUCCCAUCAGGUGCAUGUUCUGCGGUGAAGGUGGUCAUAACAGGAGAAAUUGUCCAAAGAAGAAACAAAUAGACGUUGAGGAACAAGCAAGACACAUGCAGCUGCAACUUGCAGUUGUAACUACUGUUGUCCCUCCAUCUGAUGCUGACCCUGCUAUCCUAAUUACUCAAUCACCCGCAGCCCAGUAGAACACUCCAACUGAGCUUGUGCUUAGCCAGACGGAACCCUACCCAUCAACACAACACACGCAAAACUCAGAAAAGGAAACUGUUCCAAGGCCAUCAAAACUGAAAGUUGUUAAGGGAAGAGCUAGAGAAAAAUCCUCCCCCCAAGCUGUAGCAACAUCAACAGCUUCUUUUUCUGCUGAAACCAUUAGGGGAACUAGCUCUGCCACUGCCAAGAGACUUGCAGACUUUAUGACGCUUGUUCCUACUCCAGGAUUCAAACCUCCUAGGAAGAAGGAUAAACCUACUUGAUGCUAAUAUAUGAACAUUAUGUAAUUAGAGCUAGUGAUAUAUUUUUUGUAUAUGGCUCUCUUAUUGCCAUUAAAAACAUUGUGGUUGGUUUCAAUGUGAAUUCCCUUUUUUUGGUUUAGCUCUUUGAUUAAGUUAAUAUAGUUAGUUUUUUGGAUAUCGAUCAGACAAUUAUGAUCAAACAAUGUUGCUGUUUUAGUUCCAAUAUAUGGAAAUAUUUUGUUUA